CCGCAAGGCAGCGCGGCUGAGGAUGUGUUCCUCGUGCGAGAAGAUGACGAGCGAUGAGAAAGAGAGCAGUCUACUGAGCACCAUCAAUUCCUGAGAAGAUUAAGAAGACCAAUUCAAGUUAUUUAUCAUCCUUGUUCACAAGAAGAAUUAUAUACAUAUACACAUUAUUUUCUCAAGAUUAAUGCAUUAAAGCACUUCCAUUGAAGCUCAUGUUAUCAUUUUACAGUGGGGAAGAAGAAGGAACUGAUCAUAGAUUUCCAUGGAAGAGGUUGAAGGCUUACGACUGACUUGUUGGGUCAACUCGGAAUUAGGUAGAGGACGCAACGAGUCAACAGACCCCUUGUAAUACGUUGAGUUGACUCCGAACAGUUGUUGGGAGGUCUUCAAGCUUGAGUUGAGCCGCAUGGAAUAUAUAUAUAUAUAUAUAUAUAUAAUUAAUUGUGAAUGAUAUGUUGAGGAAGGUGUUACAGGUGAACGAUCUGUUGAUGCUUGCUAGCAAGCCUUCAUAAUUGCUUCUUCGUAUUGCAAGGCAUCUAUCUUCAUGCUUUCAAUUGGCUUCUAGCUGAGGAAGCUUUCGCCACUUUACGGCUCUGAUUGGGGGGCAAUUGAGUUGAAAUACUUUAGAAAAUAUUUUGCAUAUCAAAGUGGUAAGCUUUUAAGUUUUUUUAUGUGGAAAAUGUUGUGAAUUUGAGCUACAUCGAAAGCUAUAACUUAUAGGAGAUAUUACCUAUCCUACUGAUAAUUGGGAAGAAUCCUUGUAUAUCAAUCUCUUAUGUACUUUAUGUCAAGAGAAUCAGAGUGAUACUAGAGCUUCACUAGCAUCAAGUCGUCGACUUUAAACUCUUAUUAUUAUUUUCUCACAUCCGCUCACAUCUUCAUCUUUUUGAUCGUCUUCUCUAGGUAAAUUUAAGAAAUAUCUAUAUUUUUUAUAUCAUUUCUUUGCAAAGUGAUAUGCCAAUGAUAUAAACAAUUGCCGAGGUGCGAGGAGUUAAUGACUACUAUCUUGUAAUUAUCUCAAAGAGGUUCUUGUUGGAUACAGAGUUUCAUUGUAAGUUGUAAGAAAAUUAAACUAUGCCUAACAACUUUAUCUAAUCCCGUUGGUCGACACUUAUAUAAUGUCUAAGAUAUUGCUCAAAGAGCAAAUUUAUUCUUUUAGUUUGGCCAUCCAUUUGGGGUUGGAGACUUAUAAAUAAAUAUAACUUAGAUUCCAAUAAUUUGAACAUCUCAGUCCAAAACCAUCUCAAGAAUUGUGCGUCUUAAUUGCUAAUAAUAUUGUGUAGGACUCUCUAAUACAUCACAUUCUUCAUCAUCAGCUUGACUGUCUCCUCCAUUGAAUAGUGUAGGGGUGCAGCAUAAAAUGUUGUAUAUUUUAAAAAUCGAUCAGCCACCAUAAGUAUUGAUCUAAGUCUCUCUACCGCCAGUAAGCUUGAUAUAAAGUCCACGAAAAUACUUUUCCAUGGUGUUUCUUGUAUGGGCAAUGACUCCAAAAGUCUAAUCAGCUUUUGCUGCUCUACAUUUUUUUAUUGGUAAAUAAGGCAUGUCCAAACAUAUUCUUCCACAUUAGUCCUUAUUUUCGGCCAAUAGAAAGCUCUCUCCACAAAAGCCAACAUUCGGUGAACACCCGAAUGUCUUGCCCAAAGGGAAUCAUAACACUCUCUCAAGAGUUUAAGUAUUAAAUUAUUCACUUGAGGAACAUAAAAUCUAUUUUCAUUGGUAUAGAUGAGUCCCUCUUGGACCCAAAAUUAUCAUGUCUUACUUUUUUUACUUAGUUGUAUAAGGGUUACUACUUGGGGAUUAUUGUGCAGUCUAUCCUUGAUUUUAGAAAGAAAGUUGGAAUAUAGCUGACUUACUUAGCCUUCGCCUUUUAAUUUCACAGCAUUCACCGACUCCACUUUCCUGCUCAAUGCAUUGACCACAACAUUUGUUCUUUUGGGUUUAUACUCCAUUGUCAUUAAAUUUAGCCAAAAAGACCUCUCACCAUGCUUAGAUUUAGGAGAGCUUCUUUUGAGUUUAGAAGUAACUAUCAUAUUCCAAGAAGGUAAUGUCAUCAUACUCAUAGACAAUAUAGACCACUGUUGUUAGUACCGGAUACCGUCGCUUUGUCUCAUUGAGCUUGUGGCCCUCGAAGGCCACUGAGUGACCCUCCUACAUAAGUACUUCUCCAAUAGUAAAAUCCAAAGGAUCGGUGUAGACUUUGAAAAGCUUAUCAUAAUAUGAUAAUUUGAGUACCAGAAUGUCGCUUCAUAUUUUUUUGACCAUAUCUAAGGUUGCUCCUUUAGCAACUCCAUCAGUGGAGUUAUUUGCUUCGAGUACCUAACUAUGAAGCGUAUAUUAAUAGUUGACAAAACCAAGGAUGGAUCUUAGCUCCGAUAUUUUCUUUGGUGUUCACCACUCCGCUAUAAUCUGCACCUUCAAUUUGUCCAUUUGAAUGGAUUCUUCACUGAUUCGAUGCCACAUGAAUAAUAUCUCCAUCUAGACAAAAUAACACUUCUCCCUUUUUAUGAACAAAGUGUUUAUCUUAAGAAUCUUAAAUAUUAUUCGAAGUUAUUUGACAUGCUCCUCGAGUAUUUGGUUAUAGACAACGAUAUCAUCCAAGUAAAUGAUCACAAACUUGCAUAUAUAUUUCUUGAACAAUUGAUUCAUGAUCGGAGCAUUGAUUAAGUCAAAAGACAUUACCAAAAACUUGAAUACUUCGUAAUUGAUUAUACAGGUAGUCUUCGCUUCAUCUCCUUUAACUAUGUGCACAUGUUAGUACCCCGAUUAAAGAUCGAGUUUGAAAAAGUACUUCGUCAUACCCAGUUGGUCGAACAAAUCUGUGAUGAGCAAAAUGAGAUACUUAUUCUUCAUUGUAAUUUUAUUUAAGGCCUAUCAAUCACUGUAUAAUCGGAGGUUUUCAUCUUUUUUCUUUUGAAAGAGAACUGGAGCUCCAAAUGGUGUUUUGGAACUGUAGAUGAGGCCACCACUUAGUAGUUUAUCUAAAUAAUUCUUGAGCUCUGUCAGUUUUGGAGGGGCCAUGUGGUAUAAUGAUCUUGCUAGAAGCUUCACUUCCGACUCUAACUUUAUGUGGUGAUCCAUGCCUCUAUGUGAUGACAGAGUUUUCGAUAACUCGGGUAUCAUACCGUCUAUGAACUCUUUUAAAAUAUCUACCACCAUAAUAAGUUCAUGAGUGGCCUUCAUAUCAAGUAGCUCUAGCUUGCAGUCAUGAAAGUUAACUUACCUUUUUAUACCUCUUUUUUUAGUUGUAGAGCCAAUAUUUGUUUCCUCAUGAGUGGUUCUUUGGUUCCUCCUCGAGAAAUUAGAACUACGUAGAAAUCAUCGCCUCUCCUUAGGUAUUUUCGCUCAUCAAGGGAGAAAGGAGAAUGCAAGAAUUUUAGAAGAUAAAUAAAUAGUCACAAGUCUACAAACAAUUACUCACCGGGAGGUGGGUGCAUCCCAUAAGUUUUACAUGGGAACUUAUAAAUCCAAUCUAUACCUAUCAUUAUCCCAAACUCUCAUCUAACAUUUUGGGUGCUAACAUAACUGACAUUUUGCUCUGCAUUGUAACCUACAGAAAACAAAUCAUGGAAUGUGAAAAAUAGAUCAUUUUAGGAUAAUUUUAUCUAUUCUGGUUAACAAUCACUUUACAGCCCUAAACACGUUAUCAAAUAUAUAUACAAGUGAUAAAAGUGACGGACGAUCCAUUAAUGAAAAUAUUUGGAUGCAUGAUGAUCAUUAGUGACAUUACUAAGGGAGCAAGAGUGAGAAUAAUGUGUGAAGGAUAACUCUCAUAAGUACCAUUCGGCUUACCUCUCUUUCUCGUGCCCCACCUUGAUCCUAUCAAACAAUGGCAAGGCAUUGCAGUAGGGCAGAAGCCAUGUAAAAGCAGUAGAGCGCCGGAAUAUAUAUAUAUAUAUAUAUAUAUAUAUAUAUAUAUAUAUAUAUAUAUAUAUAUAUAUAUAUAUAUAUAUAUAUAUAUAUAUAUAUAUAUACACCGAUCAUCUGUGGGAGAAGAAGAAGCGAGGGCGACGUGAGAGACCUCCCCGCGCUGCGCUACACAACGAAGCUUCCGUGCCGGCCCCCCUCUCUCCCCCGCGACCCCCACCACAUCAGCGCGAGAGAGCCACCCAUAUCACACCCUCUCUCUCUCUCUCUCUCUCUCUCUCUCUCUCACACACACACACACACAGCGCGCGCUCUGGGCGCGAGAGAGAGAUGAAUCCCCCAUCUGCGUGAGAGCGCGCGAANNNNNNNNNNNNNNNNNNNNCUCUCUCUCUCUCUCUCUCUCUCUCUCUCACACACACACACACACACACUCGUUCUGUAGCGAGGAAGAGAUGAAUACCUCAUCUGCAUGAGAGGACGCGAAAUGGCUCGCCGGUUAUUGCAAGGUAAGUCACACAGACUUUUUUCAGUACACCGAUUUAACAGUUCGAUGAAAGAUGAUGCAAUCUCUGGUGAUCCAAAGAUUGGUAGCGGUCAUUCCAUCUCCCUGCAAUUGGCAGAAACUAUGUCAGGUUUGAUCUGUAUGAUCAAAGCUAAAAAAAACAUUAGCAAGAGAAUCUCAAGUAUAUUACUCAGAACAUAAUCUACACACUAAAUAACAUGACUCAGCCUUCAAUCAUCAUCAUCAUCUGACCACCUUCUUGCAGAGUUCUCACAUGCACAUUCAAUUGCUCAAGCAUCACUCAUGUCAUUUGGCGUGAUUGCAAUUCUUAUCGUCGUUUUAGUUCUGUUGGCGCUUUGCUGGAAAUCCAGAAAACCAAAGCCUACAUGGAAGACUCCCAAUUCUACCAAAAGCCCUGCAGGUAACAAUUCACUGUAUGAACAAAACAAGAAUCAUAUCUUAAGCCUUCUCGUGUCUGUAUUUCCAGAUAAUUUCAGCGGUAAUCUUCGAACCAUUUCUUAUUUUGACUAUCGAACUCUGAAGAAAGCAACGAGAGAUUUCCACCCAAAGAACCAGCUUGGAGGAGGAGGAUUUGGCCCAGUCUAUAAGGUGAUGAUUAGUAGAGGAGAAUGCUUACUUGAUUUCAACUAUAACAGCUGCAAAUGAUCUUCUAACAGGGAACAUUAGAUGAUGGAAGAAUAAUUGCAGUGAAGCAGCUCUCGGUUGGCAAAUCUCAGCAAGGGGAAAGAGAGUUUCUUGCUGAGGUAAGGAUGUUAACCAGCAUCC
rnacentral:lncRNA from 1 species